AGCAGCCGCGGUAAUUCCAGCUCCAAUAGCGUAUAUUAAAGUUGUUGCAGUUAAAAAGCUCGUAGUUGAAUUUCGGGGUUAGUAGGUUGGUCAUGCCUCUGGUAUGUACUGGUCUCACUGAUUCCUCCUUCCUGAUGAACCUUAAUGCCAUUAAUUUGGUGUUUUGGGGAAUUUGGACUGUUACUUUGAAAAAUUAGAGUGUUUAAAGCAAGCUAACGCUUGAAUACAUUAGCAUGGAAUAAUGAAAUAGGACGUUCGAUCCUAUUUUGUUGGUUUCUAGGAUUGACGUAAUGAUUAAUAGGGAUAGUUGGGGGCAUUAGUAUUCAAUUGUCAGAGGUGAAAUUCUUGGAUUUAUUGAAGACUAACUACUGCGAAAGCAUUUGCCAAGGAUGUUUUCAUUAAUCAAGAACGAAAGUUAGGGGAUCGAAGACGAUCAGAUACCGUCGUAGUCUUAACCAUAAACUAUGCCGACUAGGGAUCGGAUGAUGUUAAUUUUUUAAUGACUCAUUCGGCGCCUUAC
rnacentral:ncRNA from 2 species